CGGGACUUGGUGCAACGGUAAAGGUUGCUCCAUUGUGACCAACUACCAUAUCAACCUACCGUGGAGUUCGUGGAGAGUAAGUCAUAAUUUCUUCCAGCACCUUGUCAUUGACUUUUUGGAGUCGUCUUGUGUCUUGGUUCAUCGCCACCCAUUUGCUGCAG